rnacentral:rRNA from 1 species
CCUACGGGAGGCUGCAGUAGGGAAUUUUCGUCAAUGGGCGCAAGCCUGAACGAGCGAUGCCGCGUGAGUGAAGAAGGCCUUCGGGUCGUAAAGCUCUGUUGCGGGGGAAAAAAGGCAGCAUCAGGAAAUGGGUGCUGACUGAUGGUGCCCCGCCAGAAAGUCACGGCUAACUACGUGCCAGCAGCCGCGGUAAUACGUAGGUGGCGAGCGUUAUCCGGAAGGAUUGGGCGUAAAGGGUGCGCAGGCGGUCCUGCAAGUCUGGAGUGAAACGCAUGGGCUCAACUCAUGCAUGGCUUUGGAAACUGGAGGACUGGAGAGCAGGAGAGGGCGGUGGAACUCCAUGUGUAGCGGUAAAAUGCGUAGAUAUAUGGAAGAACACCAGUGGCGAAGGCGGCCGCCUGGCCUGUUGCUGACGCUGAGGCACGAAAGCGUGGGGAGCGAACAGGAUUAGAUACCCUUGUAGUC